CCGCGUGCGUGAAGAAGGCCUUCGGGUUGUAAAGCGCUUUUGUUCGGGAGGAAAUCCUAGGGGCUAAUANCNAUUGGGGAUGACAGUACCGGAAGAAUAAGGACCGGCUAACUACGUGCCAGCAGCCGCGGUAAUACGUAGGGUCCAAGCGUUAAUCGGAAUUACUGGGCGUAAAGGGUGCGCAGGUGGUUGAUUAAGUGUGAUGUGAAAGCCCCGGGCUCAACCUGGGAAUUGCAUUGCAAACUGGUCAACUAGAGUAUGGCAGAGGGGGGUGGAAUUCCGCGUGUAGCAGUGAAAUGCGUAGAGAUGCGGAGGAACACCGAUGGCGAAGGCAACCCCCUGGGCUAAUACUGACACUCAUGCACGAAAGCGUGGGGAGCAAACAGGAUUAGAUACCCUGGUAGUCCACGCCCUAAACGAUGUCUACUAGUUGGUGGGGAAUUCGUUCCUUAGUAACGCAGCUAACGCGU
rnacentral:rRNA from 1 species